rnacentral:rRNA from 1 species
AACGAACGCUGGCGGCAUGCCUAACACAUGCAAGUCGAACGAUGCUUUCGGGCAUAGUGGCGCACGGGUGCGUAACGCGUGGGAAUCUGCCCUUGGGUUCGGAAUAACAGUGAGAAAUUGCUGCUAAUACCGGAUGAUGUCUUCGGACCAAAGAUUUAUCGCCCAGGGAUGAGCCCGCGUAGGAUUAGCUAGUUGGUGGGGUAAUGGCCUACCAAGGCGACGAUCCUUAGCUGGUCUGAGAGGAUGAUCAGCCACACUGGGACUGAGACACGGCCCAGACUCCUACGGGAGGCAGCAGUGGGGAAUAUUGGACAAUGGGCGCAAGCCUGAUCCAGCAAUGCCGCGUGAGUGAUGAAGGCCUUAGGUUUGUAAAGCUCUUUUACCCGGGAUGAUAAUGACAGUACCGGGAGAAUAAGCGCCGGCUAACUCCGUG